AACUUUUAGCAAUGGAUCACUUGGCUCUCGCAUCGAUGAAGAACGCAGCGAAAUGCGAUAAGUAAUGUGAAUUGCAGAAUUCAGCGAAUCAUCGAAUUUUUGAACGCACCUUGCGCUCCCUGGUAUUCCGGGGAGCACGCCUGUUCGAGUGUCGCGAAAUUCUCAAACUGAGAUGCUUUUUUGUUCCUCGGCUUGGUGUUGGGCUUUGCAGUCCCCUUUGAUUGGGAUGGCUGGCCUCAAAAGCAUUAGCUGGCUUUUGGUGUGGCAUUGGUUCUACUCAGCGUGAUAAUGAUCGGACCGCCGAGGACAUCUUUCGAGAUGUCCAAUUCUCAUUUGGGCUGCUUCUAAUCUUGGUCGAGCGGAUUAUGAUUCUGUGCCACUUUUCAACUUUUGACCUCGAAUCAGGUGGGACUACCCGCUGAACUUAGGCAUAUCAAUAAGCCGAGGCU
rnacentral:misc_RNA from 1 species